AAUGAACCGGCCCCUUCAAAAAGUUUACAGCAGUAUCCCAGGUAAAGGCAAGUAAAGUGUGGCAAAGCACAGAGAAGAUAAUGAACCGGCCCCUUCAAAAAGUUUACAGCAGUAUCCCAGGUAAAGGCAAGUAAAGUGUGGCAAAGCACAGAGAAGAUAAUGAACCGGCCCCUUCAAAAAGUUUACAGCAGUAUCCCAGGUAAAGGCAAGUAAAGUGUGGCAAAGCACAGAGAAGAUAAUGAACCGGCCCCUUCAAAAAGUUUACAGCAGUAUCCCAGGUAAAGGCAAGUAAAGU